GAGAUUUAUCACCGAAAGUGUUACACUGUCAUUAGUCGCAAGUAAGAAGUGAAGUGUGUCAAUGCAACCGAGAAAUAUGUUUCGGCUCUAUAGACGAUUGUUUGUGAGAGCCUAAUGUAACGUUUCAGUAACCCAACUGACAAAAAGUUACCUGAAAUGGUAUAGUUAAUGUUUCCAACGAUUCUCCCUCAGUUGUACAUGAUAUACGGAAGAUACGCUUGACCGCGUACAAAAUUUCAUCUCAACUAAACAGUCAGUAUUAAGUAUGUUCUUCCUUUAGCAUUAAAUUAAUGGAACAAAUGUGAAAAUGUUGAUAGUGUUAUGUUGAGAAUCAUAACACAAAACAUCGUGCAGUACCAUAGGAGUUCAUGUUUGGAAUAGGGAUUCUAAUCACGUUGUUACGUUCACAAGUAUCUGAAUCACAUUGUCGGUCGCCCGAUAAAGCAUUAAUUCAAAAUAUGACAGCAGAACUGGAAAAGCUGCCACAGGGUUUUCGUCAGAAGUAUGAUUGGCUUCUAAGUUUGUGAAUGUACGUAGGGCAUCGUUUGUGCAAAGUGUGAAAUCUCCCCUCUCUCAACUGCUUUCAUUACCACAAACGCAGUUCUCAUUUCGAUUACUGAUUGAUCUAUGUAUCCCUCCACAUCUAGAAGAGAUAAUCGUGAAGAUUGAAGAAUUCGCAGUGUAGAAGAGCGGUAACUGACAACUGUAUUUACACCAAUGACCCGCUUUCUUCGUGAUGAGGAUAUUGCACGACUGUUAGAAGAAGGCACUGACUCAGAAGGUGAAGAGACAGAACUAAAUGACCCAGAUGAUGCUGAUGACAUCAGUGAUCAUGAUUCGAUACACAGUGAACACCUUUCUGGUUCAGAGACGGAGCUAAUUGAAGGCUCUUCUUCUAGUGAAGAAGGUGAAGAAAGAAAGCUCAGGAGAACAAUUUUUACAGUAACAACAGAUUCAAAUGGAGUAAAUCUGCCCCACAUUAAUCUCGUAUACGACAGCACAAUAUUGUACGAGAACGCGUGGGACUGAAAGGACCUGCUGCUUGUAAAUGUGAAAUGUCACCUGUAGAGAGUUGGGAACUAUUACUUACCAAUGAUGUGAUUGAGACUAUCGUGCACUGUAUCAACAAAAAACUUGAAGACAAAUAUUCACCUCCAUUAUUACAGCCGUAUUAUGCCAACAACAUUGGUUGCUGUGAGUUAUGAGCAUAUCUUUGAUUACUUUUGUUUACGUUGAUAUUCAAGUCAAAUCGUGAACACGUUAGAUCGCUAUGGGUGACUGAUUUUACUGGAAGAGACAUUUUUGUAAUGGCGAUAAACAGGUUUUUAUUCGUUCAUUUCAAUGUAACCUUUGAUGACAUCAGCACAUGAGAAGAAAGAAAAUGUAGAGAUAAACUGGCUUUGAUAUGAGGAAUUUCUGAAAACUUUACAAGCAAUUGUAGCGUGUAACUAUUCUUGUGGUAAAAUUUCAAGGAAGGUGCUCUUUCAGAAUGUUUAUCAAAUGUAAACCUGGAAAAUAUGGCCUGAAAAUGCAGUGUAUGUGCGAUGCGAAAACAAACUACUUAUGUAAUGCAUCUAUAUACUCUGGAAAACCACUUACCCAAAGAAAUAUCCCUUUCGCAGUGCCAACACAGGAUGUGCUAAAACUUGCAGAGCCAUUUUAUGGAACUAAUAGGAAUAUCACUGGAGACAGUUGGUUUACGUCUGUUGAGUCAAUAGACGAAUUAUUGAAAUGGGGACUAACAUACGUGGGUACUGUACGAAAAAACAAAUGAGGAAUUCCUUGUCAGUGUUUGCCUGAUAAAAGAAGACCCACUGAAUCAUCAAUAUUUGCAUUUGUUCGGGACAAGACCUUGGUAUCAUUUGUCACAAAGAAGUAUAAAAGUGUAGUUCUACUAUCUUCCAUGCAUCAUGAAGUGUCUGUAAAUCAACAAUUGAAGGAACCUGCAAUUAUAGACUUUUACAAUGCGACUAAGAGAGGAGUUGAGGCCUUGGAUUUAAAAUGCUCAAAUUACUCUUGUUCACGUAGAACAAGAAGAUGGCCGAAUGCAAUCUUUGUUGCAAUGCUGAAUAUUUCUCUUACUAACGGAUAUGUUCUUUGGGUCGGUUCUAAUCCAAAUAAAAAAAGUCAGCAGAAGAGAGUACAUAAAGUCCACUGCAAUGAGUCUUGUAAAGCCAUAACUUUGCAGGAGAUUAGAAAAUAACCAAAAGCUGGCCAAAGAUGUAAGGGAAAUUAUGUGCAAAUUGAUUGGCAGAGAACAAAGGUUUUCAACGCCUAAUGCAGAUGAGCCUGGUCCUAGUGCUUCUAAAAAGUGAAGGUGUUAUAUUUGCCCAUGGUCGAAAGAUAAAAAGAGCUCUCUAACAAGUAACACUUGCAAACACUGUAUUUGUAAGCUUCAUUCAAAGAAAAUCAAUUUUUGUUUGUUCUGAGAAGCCAAAGGAAAUAAAUGAUUUUGUAGGCACAAAACGUGGUGUCAUUUUUUUGUCUUGUUACUUUUUCUGUUUUAUAAUUUUCAUUUGAUUUUAUGCUCAAAUUCAGUACAAAAUUAAAAAA